rnacentral:rRNA from 1 species
CUUUAAGUUUGGUUCUGCUCAGGAUGAACGCUGGCGGCGUGCGUAAUACAUGCAAGUCGAACGCUUUGUGGUUCAACUGAUUUGAAGAGCUUGCUCAGAUAUGACGAUGGACAUUGCAAAGAGUGGCGAACGGGUGAGUAACACGUGGGAAACCUACCUCUUAGCAGGGGAUAACAUUUGGAAACAGAUGCUAAUACCGUAUAACAAUGACAACCGCAUGGUUGUUAUUUAAAAGAUGGUUCUGCUAUCACUAAGAGAUGGUCCCGCGGUGCAUUAGCUAGUUGGUAAGGUAAUGGCUUACCAAGGCGAUGAUGCAUAGCCGAGUUGAGAGACUGAUCGGCCACAAUGGGACUGAGACACGGCCCAUACUCCUACGGGAGGCAGCAGUAGGGAAUCUUCCACAAUGGGCGAAAGCCUGAUGGAGCAACGCCGCGUGUGUGAUGAAGGGUUUCGGCUCGUAAAACACUGUUGUAAGAGAAGAAUGACAUUGAGAGUAACUGUUCAAUGUGUGACGGUAUCUUACCAGAAAGGAACGGCUAAAUACGUGCCAGCAGCCGCGGUAAUACGUAUGUUCCAAGCGUUAUCCGGAUUUAUUGGGCGUAAAGCGAGCGCAGACGGUUAUUUAAGUCUGAAGUGAAAGCCCUCAGCUCAACUGAGGAAUUGCUUUGGAAACUGGAUGACUUGAGUGCAGUAGAGGAAAGUGGAACUCCAUGUGUAGCGGUGAAAUGCGUAGAUAUAUGGAAGAACACCAGUGGCGAAGGCGGCUUUCUGGACUGUAACUGACGUUGAGGCUCGAAAGUGUGGGUAGCAAACAGGAUUAGAUACCCUGGUAGUCCACACCGUAAACGAUGAGUGCUAGGUGUUUGAGGGUUUCCGCCCUUAAGUGCCGCAGCUAACGCAUUAAGCACUCCGCAUGGAAGCUUUUG